rnacentral:rRNA from 1 species
UACGUAGGUGGCGAGCGUUGUCCGGAUUUACUGGGCGUAAAGAGCGCGCAGGCGGCUGGUCAAGUCCGAUGUGAAAGCUCCCGGCUUAACUGGGAAAUUGCAUCGGAAACUGAUCGGCUGGAAGGUGGGAGAGGGUAGCGGAAUUCCCGGUGUAGUGGUGAAAUGCGUAGAUAUCGGGAGGAACACCAGUGGCGAAAGCGGCUACCUGGCCCAUUCCUGACGCUGGGGCGCGAAAGCUAGGGGAGCAAACGGG